rnacentral:rRNA from 1 species
AGGCCGGGAACUCAAAGGAGACUGCCAGUGAUAAACUGGAGGAAGGUGGGGAUGACGUCAAGUCAUCAUGGCCCUUACGAGUAGGGCUACACACGUGCUACAAUGGCGCAUACAAAGAGAAGCGACCUCGCGAGAGCAAGCGGACCUCAUAAAGUGCGUCGUAGUCCGGAUUGGAGUCUGCAACUCGACUCCAUGAAGUCGGAAUCGCUAGUAAUCGUAGAUCAGAAUGCUACGGUGAAUACGUUCCCGGGCCUUGUACACACCGCCCGUCACACCAUGGGAGUGGGUUGCAAAAGAAGUAGGUAGCUUAACCUUCGGGAGGGCGCUUACCACUUUGUGAUUCAUGACUGGGGUGAAGUCGUAACAAGGUAACCGUAGGGGAACCUGCGGUUGGAUCACCUCCUU